UAGCUACAGGCUUAACACAUGCAAGUCGAGGGGCAUCAGGAAGAAAGCUUGCUUUCUUUGCUGGCGACCGGCGCACGGGUGAGUAACACGUAUCCAACCUGCCCUUUACUCGGGGAUAGCCUUUCGAAAGAAAGAUUAAUACCCGAUGGCAUAAUGAUUCCGCAUGGUUUCAUUAUUAAAGGAUUCCGGUAAAGGAUGGGGAUGCGUUCCAUUAGGUUGUUGGUGAGGUAACGGCUCACCAAGCCUUCGAUGGAUAGGGGUUCUGAGAGGAAGGUCCCCCACAUUGGAACUGAGACACGGUCCAAACUCCUACGGGAGGCAGCAGUGAGGAAUAUUGGUCAAUGGGCGCUAGCCUGAACCAGCCAAGUAGCGUGAAGGAUGAAGGCUCUAUGGGUCGUAAACUUCUUUUAUAUAAGAAUAAAGUGCAGUAUGUAUACUGUUUUGUAUGUAUUAUAUGAAUAAGGAUCGGCUAACUCCGUGCCAGCAGCCGCGGUAAUACGGAGGAUCCGAGCGUUAUCCGGAUUUAUUGGGUUUAAAGGGAGCGUAGGUGGACUGGUAAGUCAGUUGUGAAAGUUUGCGGCUCAACCGUAAAAUUGCAGUUGAUACUGUCAGUCUUGAGUACAGUAGAGGUGGGCGGAAUUCGUGGUGUAGCGGUGAAAUGCUUAGAUAUCACGAAGAACUCCGAUUGCGAAGGCAGCUCACUGGACUGCAACUGACACUGAUGCUCGAAAGUGUGGGUAUCAAACAGGAUUAGAUACCCUGGUAGUCCACACAGUAAACGAUGAAUACUCGCUGUUUGCGAUAUACAGUAAGCGGCCAAGCGAAAGCAUUAAGUAUUCCACCUGGGGAGUACGCCGGCAACGGUGAAACUCAAAGGAAUUGACGGGGGCCCGCACAAGCGGAGGAACAUGUGGUUUAAUUCGAUGAUACGCGAGGAACCUUACCCGGGCUUAAAUUGCAGUGGAAUGAUGUGGAAACAUGUCAGUGAGCAAUCACCGCUGUGAAGGUGCUGCAUGGUUGUCGUCAGCUCGUGCCGUGAGGUGUCGGCUUAAGUGCCAUAACGAGCGCAACCCUUAUCUUUAGUUACUAACAGGUCAUGCUGAGGACUCUAGAGAGACUGCCGUCGUAAGAUGUGAGGAAGGUGGGGAUGACGUCAAAUCAGCACGGCCCUUACGUCCGGGGCUACACACGUGUUACAAUGGGGGGUACAGAAGGCAGCUAGCGGGUGACCGUAUGCUAAUCCCAAAAGCCUCUCUCAGUUCGGAUCGAAGUCUGCAACCCGACUUCGUGAAGCUGGAUUCGCUAGUAAUCGCGCAUCAGCCACGGCGCGGUGAAUACGUUCCCGGGCCUUGUACACACCGCCCGUCAAGCCAUGGGAGCCGGGGGUACCUGAAGUACGUAACCGCAAGGAUCGUCCUAGGGUAAAACUGGUGACUGGGGCUAAGUCAUAACAA
rnacentral:rRNA from 1 species